GAAUGCAUAGCUUGAGAAUGUGAAGGCUAUGAUGUUUAUGAGUAUGAUUCUUAGAGAUGUUUAUGAGUUCUAGAGGUAAGAGGAUGAAGUAAAGGCUUGGGGUUAUGUUUGUGUUUGUACCUUACAUGGAAUACUGGCUUCAAGGAGAGGAGGUUAUGGAUGGGGUGCUUGUAACAAAGAAAGGAGGUGUGACGAUUGAAGAAUGGGGUUGAUGCUU
rnacentral:lncRNA from 1 species